rnacentral:rRNA from 1 species
UGAAGUCGGAAUUGCUAGUAAUGGCAGGUCAGCAUACUGCCGUGAAUACGUUCCCGGGCCUUGUACACACCGCCCGUCACACCACGAGAGUUAGGAAUACCCGAAGCCUGUGAGCCAACUUGUAAAAGAGGCAGCAGUCGAAGGUAGAACUAAUGAUUGGGGUGAAGUCGUAACAAGGUAAC